UUCAGAUGUUUUACGUCAAACUCCAUGAUAGCAAUCGGUACACAAAUCUCACAAAUUUCUAAGUUUUCGUGCAGUUUUCACCGCAAAAUUCCAUCCCAUCCGUCGAACCCCCUCAUUUUCGUCGUUUUUGUCAAAUGUCGUCGUCGCCCGCGCCCCGAGUGUGAGUAACGAUGGAAAAUUCGCGAGAAUUGCAAGGUCAAGACUAGUUGACAGAUCAACAUGACAUCCUUCAUCUCCACAAUACAGUUUUGAGAAUAAUUUCCUUGUCGAGUGAGUUAGUUGUGAGCAAUGGCAGACAGCAAGCUGGCGGUCCCUCGGUCGGAGACGGCGAGUCCACCCCCGCACUGUGCCAUCUGCUUGGGGACUUGCAAGAACAAGUCUCGUGCCAACUCCUGCAUGCACGAAUUUUGCUACACUUGUCUGUUGGAGUGGUCGAGGAUCAAAGCAGAAUGCCCCCUUUGCAAGCAAGAGUUCAAAUCCAUCCUCCACAAUAUCAAAUCGAUCAACGAGUACGACGUCCACAUCGUGGAGAACAUCCCGGUGGAGAACAACCGCUACCUCGACAACGCGUCCCUGAUCUACCUGCCCCCGGCGACGCCGCCGAUGCACCACUACCAAUUCCGAACGACACUCACCGUCGACUCGAGCGGCGAGCACGCCAUCCAGAAUUUGUUGCUCCAUCAUCCGUUACUCAUCGGCGGUUAUAACCCCGAAAGGUAUACGCACCACAGGAGGCGCAGAGGGGACACAUCGACGUCGUUCAGGAGGUCGGUGUAUGCGGAGAAUCUGUGGGUCUACGCGCCGCCGGACAUCACGGGCAGGUAUAGGGACGUGUCGCCGUCGUACUAUAGGAACAAUCCAGCGGCGCGGACUCGCCUCGUGCCGUGGCUGAACCGCGAACUGAACGCUCUUCUUCACGAGAACACCCAGCACGUGAUGCGGCUCGUGGACAUCAUCCUCGACCACCUCCUCCUCCACCACAUCUGCAGUUACAUGUUCCGCUCCCUCCUCUACGAAUACCUGAGCAACAAAACCGACCAUUUUAUUCACGAAUUCUACAAUUUCAUGAGAUCUCCGUACGAUAUGGUGGGUUAUGACCGGCACGUCAUCUACACGGAAAGGCAGCAGUCGUCGCCUAUACAUUUCAUCGACGAAGUCGACGUCUCGGACUACGAUAGUGACGUGAUUUUGGUCAGCGACACUAACAAUAACCAAGGUCAGGUCUCGGACCCCGUCAUCAUAGAUCUGGUGGAGACGGAUUCGGACGAACCGAUCAUAGUAUCGGAAGAAAGGAACGAGCCGAGGUGCGUCGAAGAAGAGAACCGAAAACCCAUUCUGCCCCUCAAACUUCGGAUAAAGAACCGACACAAGUCAAAAGAAAAGAGAAAAGCGAAGAAGCGGCAUCGACAAGUCACUUCCACCAGUUCGAGUAGUUCCAGCGAGGAGAGUUCGACGGAUUCAGACUGUGAUUACAAGAGAUACCAGCAGAAGAGGUUCUUAAAGAAGAUGAGGCGGGAAAAGAAGAAGAGGAAAGAGAGCUACUACGUCGAGAAAGUCAGUUCCGAGAACGAAGACGACUUACCCUUGGCUAGUUUCGCGCGGAAGAAGCGAUCAAAGCACAGUAAACACAAGUCACACACGGUCACCAGUGAAAAGAAAGAGAGAAGAUACAAAAGGGAGUACACUUCCGGUUCGAAUUCCGACGAGGAAAAUAAGACGGACAGUUCGAGUAGUGACGAAAGUUUUUAUAGUGAACAUAAACCGUACGUGAAAAGUAAGGUUAGAGAAGUGAGGGGGGAGGAUAAGCAUAGGGCGGGGCCGAGCAGCGGCCGCUUAAGGAACACGUUGAAGAAAGAGGCGUCGACGAAUUUGUGGUAUUCCAGGCCUUCGGCGUACGAUUCGGAUAGUUCUGAUAGUUAAAACGCAGAUGAUGUACAGCAUAUUUAAUUUUUUUUUCCCCUGAUUAUUUUAUAUUUAUGGUCAAGUUUACAUGAUUUUUUUCUGUAAAGUCACUUCCAGUGAAAGAUCCUCAGAGGUGUAUGUUGGAGUUGCGGGGGCGUGGCGUAAACACAACAACCACAUUCACGCGAGGGAAAAAUGAACGAUGCAAUUCAGUUGGUCGAUUUUGGGUGGUAUUGGCGAAUCGCAACGGCGGAGGCGUGGUCUAUGUUUAUACGCAUGUAGCGUUUCCAUCAAGUACAUAAUAAAUUUAAUUCAGGAGCAUAAAGGUAUUAAUUAUAAUCUAGGGUUUUCUCAUAAAUCAGUCUACUUUUUAAGUACGUGGCCUUCAAACCUGUAACGUCACACACAAGUCGUAAUGUGUUAAUUUAUGUAUUUAUUUUCGUUUAAUUACUCUAGGUUCACAGCAUAUUGAGACUAUGCCACAUGUAACACCACUUAGAAGUAGAAAACCAUAAAACAAUCAUAACAACUCUAAACUGAUGGGAAAGUACAACUAAACAAAAUCUUUCUUACACAUAUGUACACUAAAAUUGAUAUACGAGUAACAAUACUGAACAUUAAAAUUGGAUUUUAAA